CUUAAUUUUAUUAAGAAUGACGGGCGAUUUGUGCAUUUUAUCAUUUUAUUUAAAAAUUUAAUUUUUUUUAAUUUUUAUUUUUAGGUCCUUAUUAUAUUUAUUUUAAAUUUUUAAAAUCCUAACUUAUUACUUUUAAUUGUAUUUAAAUAUAUUCUUUUAUUUAUUUAUUGUAUUGAUUUGUACUUUUAUUAUUAUUAAAAUUUUAUAUUUUAUUUUUAAUUAAUUAUAUCAUACAAUUAUAUAAUUAAUUAUAAUAAAAGUUUAUUAAUAGCGUGUUUUCUAUUAAUUAUCAAAAUCCCCUAAUUUUAAUAAAACCGCCAUUUUAUUUAAAUUUUGUUUAUUUAACUACUAUUUAUUAUAUUUUUAAAA
rnacentral:rRNA from 1 species